UUCUCUAUUCAAAUAUCUCUGUUAAUGUUGAUGGAAAAUUAUUUGUAGCCCAAUUUUAUGUUAUUUUAGAAAAUUUGGAAAUAACAGAUAAAAGAAAAUAAUUUUAAUUCUUACUAACUAUAGAUAAUUUCUUAAAUUUUUUGUAUAUAUAUUCAUAUUUAUAUCUCUUUACAUAUAAAAUCAAAUAGAAUUUACAUUUUCAAGAUUUUAGGGUCAUAUUACUAAAUUAAUCUUCUGACAACCAGAAUAACAAACAUCUUUGAAUUUUAUCAACACCAAUUCAUAUAUGCAUUUGAUUAACAGCAAAUGUCAGGUGCAGAAAUCUCACUUGACACUUCCAGGGUAGCUGAGAAAAUUUAUUACAAGAAGUGAAUCAGGCUGUUUGCCGAUAAAAUAUUUAGCAAACUAUACCCAGCAACCAAAUUAUUAUGCUAAGAGCUGUAAAUCCGUAGAACAAAAGUAUUUUGAAGUUGGUCAAGUGAGCCUCAGAUCUUUUAUUAUACUUUAUUGUGUUUAUACAGC
rnacentral:lncRNA from 1 species